GGAUGAAAUGAAAUGUUAGCAGAGGGGUGCUGCCUCACUGUUGUCAUUUCUAACCUGCCUUUUUGCUUCCAUCACAAAGAGUAAUCCCAUAGAGAACGCACGGAACGUAGAAGUAAAAGACUUAAAUGACAAUGCUCCAAAAUUUCAACAAACUAAUUAUAGUGCUUCAGUGUCAGAGGUGGCUGAAAUAAGUUUCACUGUUAUAAAAGUGGAAGCAAAGGAUGAUGAUUUUUCACCCCAAUUCAACAUCCUCACUUACAGUCUCUCGGGUCCGGACUCAGAUUACUUUUAUAUAAGGCAAGG
rnacentral:lncRNA from 1 species